AAACGAUGCCGAUGUCGUGGUGCCGAAAAAUGGCGACGCGAAAGAGAAAUCGAGUAGGGCCCUGGGGAGAGUACACGCGCAAGCGAGAAAUUUAAAGGAAAUUGACGGAAGAACACCACAAGGAGUGGAGUGUGCGGCUUAAUUUGACUCAACGCGGGACAACUUACCGGGCCCGACGACCGUAAGAGUGUGACACACGAUAGGUCGAAGAGUGGUGCAUGGCCGUUAACGACGAGUGGAGUGAUCUUUGGGUUAAGUCCGUAAAUUAGUGAGACCUCAGCCGUAAGGGACAGGUGCGCAAAGCACAGGAAGGAUGGGUCAAGGACAGGUCAGUGAUGCCCUUAGAUGGUCCGGGCUGCACGCGCACUACAGUGGUCGCCGAAAUUACCUGAUAAUUUUAAAGGCGAUCGAGAGGGAAUGAGCUUUGUAAGAGGCUCAGGAACGAGGAAUUGCUAGUAAUCGCGGACUCAUUAAGACGCGAUGAAUACGUCCCUGUUCUUUGUACACACCGCCCGUCGUUAUCGAAGAUGAAGACAGGCGCGAACGAUCUACCAGAAAGUGAGCGCAGGUCUUUAGAUCUGAUACAAGUCGUAACAAGGUAGCUGUAGGUGAACCUGUAGCUGG
rnacentral:rRNA from 1 species